rnacentral:rRNA from 1 species
UACAGAGGGUGCGAGCGUUAAUCGGAGUUACUGGGCGUAAAGGGCGCGUAGGUGGUUGUGUAAGUUGGAUGUGAAAUCCCUGGGCUUAACCUAGGAACUGCAUACAAAACUGCAUAGCUAGAGUACUGUAGAGGGUAGUGGAAUUUCCGGUGUAGCGGUGAAAUGUGUAGAGAUCGGAAGGAACACCAGUGGCGAAGGCGGCUACCUGGACAGAUACUGACACUGAGGCGCGAGAGCGUGGGGAGCAAACAGG